GAUGAAGAACGUAGCGAAAUGCGAUAAGUAAUGCGAAUUGCAGAAUUUCCGUGAGUCAUCGAAUCUUUGAACGCACAUUGCGCCCUUUGGUAUUCCGAAGGGCAUGCCUGUUCGAGCGUCAUUAUCACCCCUCAAGCCCUCGGCUUGGUGUUGGACGGUUUGGUGGAGGCCCCCUCGGGGGCUCCUGCCCCUCCCAAAGACAAUGACGGCGGCCUCGUUGGACCCCCGGUACACUGAGUUCUUCACGGGACACGUAUCGGACACAUGGGUUUACGGGACACGGUCUGCCUCCCCUCAGGGAGAAUCUUUCUAAGGUUGACCUCGGAUCAGGUAGGGAUACCCGCUGAACUUAAGCAUAUCAUAACGGAGGA
rnacentral:misc_RNA from 1 species